GUUUCCAAGCUGCCCUGCCAGAAGCAGGUCAGGGGUCCCACAGGGCUCCUCAGUAACUCCUCAAAAUCCUCUCCCAUCAAUGGCCCCACCAGAUCAUCCCUACUUUUGAAUGCUUGUCCAAUGCAGGUUGCAGGCCUAAGGCAAUAGCUAAUUGAGACUAUGCAUCACUAUUAAGGCAUCUUCACUAAAGGGCACUGUGGAAACGCUGCCUGAGAUGCGGACACCUGCCAGAAGGGGGCUAAAUUUCAAACAAGGAACGUGGUGUUGCAUCACAAUAAAGUGACUGAGUUCAGUAUGAUCAGAACUGAACCAUUUCAAAAAGCAGCACAAGUGGCGACUGCCAGUAACCGACAAUAACCAAGUUUGAUCCCCCUCUUCUGCUCCUUCCCUCUGAUGGAAUUCUCAUUGUCCCUGGCCUCCCGCAUUGACAUUCAUCCAAUGCCCAUGCUGCUGGAUCAGCCUGCCUGGAGCCACAUUCUUAGAAAGAUGAAGGACUUCCAGCCUUUUGGGAGAUGACAAUGUGUUAUCAAAAUCAACAAAUUAAUAGAUUGACUUCCUUUG